rnacentral:lncRNA from 1 species
CUCAGGAGGGUUUCUGGAUGCCAACGAGACCCCAGCCACAGCCGGUCCCCAGAUUCUUGACAUCAUCACAAGAAAGAAUUCACAGGGUUGCUUCAGCGUCCUCACAACAGGAUGGCUGACUUCCCCAAGAGAGCAGCUCAAGAGAGAGCAAGGAGAAAGACACAACAUCUUUAAUGAUCUAUGCUUGGAAGCUAUAUGUUGCCACUUUUGCAAUAUCCUACAGAUCGCUUAGCUCCAUCCAACAUGGAAAGGGAUCAGACACGGGCAUCAUUGCCAGAUGAUAAUCCCUGAUGGUCAUCUUGGAUGCUGGCCACCACAGUUACAUUUGAGAUGGUGCACAAGAAGGCUCUCGCCAGAUGCUGGUCUUGUGAUCUUGGACUUCCCAGCCUCCAGAACUGUCAGCGUUGCUUCCACUGCACCUCUGAAAGUACUCAGCUCUGCCCCAAACCUGGAGAGUGCCGCAUUUCUCCAGACUGCAAGAAACAGUGUGGAUGACUCAGUGGAGAUCAUAAUGGCAUCUGAGUGAUCAACGACAGCCUCCAGUUGCCACUUGGUGAGAGAACAAAGGAACCGGGGCAUGCUCAGCUAUGGCUGCAAGCCCUUCAAGUGAAGCUGGGCACUUACCCCCUUCAUUCCAUUCUCCUCAGGAUAACAGAUUAAAAUUCCAGAAGUGUGCACCUGUUGUGUAUUCAGGAGAUUGUCGUUGUGCAUAAAGAGACCACUUGAGGCCCUGUAAGCAAAGACUAAUGGGGCUGAGUCAAAAUCUGGGAAUCUGAUGAACUAACACACUCAAAUGAAACUGAUUUGUGGGCAAGUACGAAUAGAAUA